GUUACGCUAAUACCGCAUAUUCUGUGAGCAGGAAAGCAGGGGAUCGCAAGACCUUGCGCUGAUUGAGCGGCCGAUAUCAGAUUAGCUAGUUGGUGAGGUAAAGGCUCACCAAGGCGACGAUCUGUAGCGGGUCUGAGAGGAUGAUCCGCCACACUGGAACUGAGACACGGUCCAGACUCCUACGGGAGGCAGCAGUGGGGAAUUUUGGACAAUGGGCGCAAGCCUGAUCCAGCCAUGCCGCGUGAGUGAAGAAGGCCUUCGGGUUGUAAAGCUCUUUCGGCCGGGAAGAAAUCGUAUCAGCUAAUACCUGGUGCGGAUGACGGUACCGGCAUAAGAAGCACCGGCUAACUACGUG
rnacentral:rRNA from 1 species